AAUAUUGCACAAUGGGGGAAACCCUGAUGCAGCGACGCCGCGUGAGCGAAGAAGGCCUUCGGGUUNUAAAGCUCUGUCCUAAGGGANGAAACGGACGGUACCUUAGGAGGAAGCCCCGGCUAACUACGUGCCAGCAGCCGCGGUAAUACGUAGGGGGCGAGCGUUAUCCGGAAUUAUUGGGCGUAAAGGGUGCGUAGGCGGCUUUUUAAGUCAGAUGUGAAAGGCUACGGCUUAACCAUAGGUAGCAUUUGAAACUAAAAGGCUUGGGUGCAGGGGAGGGGAGUGGGAUUCCUAGUGUAGGGGUGGAAAACGUGGAUAUUUAGAGGAAAAACAGUGGGGAAGGCGACUCUCUGGACUGCAACUGACGCUGAGGCACGAAAGAGUGGGGGGCGAACAGG
rnacentral:rRNA from 1 species